AAAAAGGCAAACCCUGGGUUUCUGUGUCCAACUUUGACUGUCCGUCUUAUAUGAUUUUUUUUUAUAAUUCGUAUUUCCAUUGUUGUUAGAUGAUAAAACAUGAUUAAUAUUUUAUGCGUGACUUAUCUUUUUAAUUUUUUUCAUAAUUUUUUCAAAUAAGACGGACGAUCAAACGUUGGGCACGGAAACCAGGGUUUGUCUUUUA
rnacentral:pre_miRNA from 1 species